GGCUUUACACAUGCAAGUCGAGGGGCAGCGCGGGUAGCAAUACCUGGCGGCGACCGGCAAACGGGUGCGGAACACGUACAGAAUCUGCCAUUGUCUGGGGCAUAGCCCGGAGAAAUCCGGAUUAACUCCCCAUAAGAUAUUGGAAAGGCAUCUUUCAGAUAUUAAAACUCCGGUGGACAAUGAUGACUGUGCGUCCCAUUAGCUAGUUGGUGGGGUAACGGCCUACCAAGGCGACGAUGGGUAGCUGGUGUGAGAGCACGACCAGCCACACGGGCACUGAGACACGGGCCCGACUCCUACGGGAGGCAGCAGUGAGGAAUAUUGGUCAAUGGACGCAAGUCUGAACCAGCCAUGCCGCGUGAAGGAUGAAGGCCUUCUGGGUUGUAAACUUCUUUUAUCGGGGAAGAAAAUUAUGGUUUCUACUAUAACCGACGGUACCCGAGGAAUAAGCACCGGCUAACUCCGUGCCAGCAGCCGCGGUAAUACGGAGGGUGCAAGCGUUAUCCGGAUUCACUGGGUUUAAAGGGUGUGUAGGCGGGCUAUUAAGUCAGUGGUGAAAUCUCCGGGCUCAACCCGGAAACUGCCAUUGAUACUAUUAGUCUUGAAUGUUGUUGAGGUGGGCGGAAUAUAUCAUGUAGCGGUGAAAUGCAUAGAUAUGAUAUAGAACACCGAUUGCGAAGGCAGCUCACUAAACAACGAUUGACGCUGAGGCACGAAAGCGUGGG
rnacentral:rRNA from 1 species